rnacentral:rRNA from 1 species
GUGGGGAAUAUUGGACAAUGGGCGAAAGCCUGAUCCAGCCAUGCCGCGUGUGUGAAGAAGGUCUUCGGAUUGUAAAGCACUUUAAGUUGGGAGGAAGGGCAGUAAGUUAAUACCUUGCUGUUUUGACGUUACCGACAGAAUAAGCACCGGCUAACUUCGUGCCAGCAGCCGCGGUAAUACGAAGGGUGCAAGCGUUAAUCGGAAUUACUGGGCGUAAAGCGCGCGUAGGUGGUUUUGUAAGUUGGAGGUGAAAUCCCCGGGCUCAACCUGGGAACUGCCUCCAAAACUGCAUGACUAGAGUACGGUAGAGGGUAGUGGAAUUUCCUGUGUAGCGGUGAAAUGCGUAGAUAUAGGAAGGGACACCAGUGGCGAAGGCGACUACCUGGACUGAUACUGACACUGAGGUGCGAAAGCGUGGGGAGCAAACAGGAUUAGAUACCCCGGUAGUCC